rnacentral:rRNA from 1 species
CCUACGGGAGGCAGCAGUGAGGAAUAUUGGUCAAUGGGCUUACGCCUGAACCAGCCAAGUCGCGUGAGGGAAGACUGCCCUAUGGGUUGUAAACCUCUUUUGUCAGGGAGCAACGCCGGCUACGUGUAGCCGGACUGAGAGUACCUGAAGAAAAAGCACCGGCUAACUCCGUGCCAGCAGCCGCGGUAAUACGGAGGAUGCGAGCGUUAUCCGGAUUGAUUGGGUUUAAGGGGUGCGUAGGCGGAAUGCCAAGUCAGCGGUAAAAUCGCGGGGCUCAACCUCGCUCCGCCGUUGAAACUGGCGUUCUUGAGUGGGCGAGAGGUAUGCGGAAUGCGUGGUGUAGCGGUGAAAUGCAUAGAUAUCACGCAGAACUCCGAUUGCGAAGGCAGCAUACCGGCGCCCAACUGACGCUGAAGCACGAAAGCGUGGGUAUCGAACAGGAUUAGAUACCCUGGUAGUC